CCUCAGGUUGUUCGUCACUCUGAAAACCUGUGAUGAGAGUUUUAACAAUGGCGUGGCCGCGGCGGGGGGCUGCUGCUCUUGCCCCGAGUCCAGAAGAAGAAAAACACCUGUAAACAUUUGGAGUUGGAGCUUUUUCGGCAAUUUGAAAAGUAAUUUGACGGUUACAAUGAUACCGGAGGGAGUAAAUCUCCGCUGACAGCCUGCUCUACAAACUGUAAAACUACUGGACUCGCUGGCAGCGCUUGGCCAUGUCGUUACUGUGUGUCAGAGUGAAAAAAGCCAAGCUCCAUGGACUUCCAGACAAGUUCAACACCUACGUGACGCUGAAGGUGCAGAAUGUCAAAAGCACAACUAUCACAGUGCGGGGGAGCCAGCCCUGCUGGGAACAGGAUUUCAUGUUUGAGAUCAACCGGCUGGACCUCGGCCUCAUCGUUGAGGUGUGGAACAAAGGCCUCAUCUGGGACACCAUGGUGGGGACGGCCUGGAUUCCUCUGAAGAGUAUCCAACAAUCAGAGGAGGAGGGCUCCGGUGACUGGAUCUCUCUGCAUGCAGAAGUCCUGAUGAAAGCGGAUGAGAUAUAUGGCACCAAGAACCCAACGCCUCAUCAAAUCCUGCUGGACACUCGCUUUGAGCUGCCUUUUGACAUCCCAGAUGAUGAGGCACAGUACUGGACAGGCAAGCUGGAACGCAUCAAUACCAUGCAAAUCCAUGAUGAGUACCCUCUUCAGGAGGACGUACAGAGUCGCCCACUGCCAUUUGCGGCCUCCCAGUGCUGCAACUAUUUCGGAUGGGCUGACCCACUGACUCUGGAUGACCAGGACAGUGCUGUCGACGACCGGGAUAGCGACUACCGCAGUGAGACGAGUAACAGCCUGCCUCCACGUUACCACACAACGGCUCAGCCCAACUCCUCCCUGCACCAGUAUCCCAUGGGGCCUCGGCAGCAGCAGACGCACCACCCAGACUCCUGCACAGACUCUGUCCACAGUUUGGACCUGGACUACAGGGACCAGAGAGGAACCAGAUCACUAAACCAGAAAGGAAGAGUCAAAAGUAUACCUGUAGAUUCUGGCAUGGGCGUUGAAGAUUGGGAAAACAAAUACAAAGGGCAGAGCAAGCCCCAGCUGAGUGCCUUCUUGGAUGAUGAGGAAGACAAUGUUAUCCUUCGAAUGGGAACACCCUACCCUGAGCCAUCACGCUCCUCUAUAUGUCUACAUUCUCAACGCACUGGUUUUCAGCCUGCCACCUACCCUGAGGGCUAUGAAACUAUUGAUCGGCGGCGUAAGAAAAAGAUAAGGGACCCAGGAGGGUUGCUUAGUAUAAAGGCAGACAGAAUGAGAGAAGAGGCUUUUCCUUCUGACCUUGAACUGCUCCGUGAGAAGAGAGGGGAGCUGUUUAUGCGGCAGGUAGUUGAGAUGCAGCAGGAGGAGGAGCAUAUGACAUCAUGCCUCAGGCCAUACCAGAAUGGGCUUCUCUACAAGACAAGGAUGUGGGCGAAAAAUGAGCUAGACAACACUUUGGAGAAUUAUGUGGCAUACAAAAAAGAGCAAGAUGCUAGAAUGAGGGCACGGUUUGAUUUUGAUUUAGAGAGCUCUGAGGAUCUGCACUUCUCUAUAGGAGCAGAUGAGGAUAUUGAUGAUAUUGCCUUUACACCAGAAGAUUUUCACCCAGAGAAAGCAAGACAUUACAAAGACAGGUAUUCUUUAUCCUGUGAUUCAGAAAAUUCUCAGGGUCCUCGAGAGAAGAAGUAUGGAAAAGCUAAACUUGGAGGAUGGGCUCCGGAGGCAAUGCUCUCACCUGUAGAGGAACCAAGUGAUGAAUAUGUAGACCCUAUGGAUGAGCUGCAGUGUCUAGUUGAAACAGUUUCUGAAUACCUGGCUGAAAAAGAGGAGGAAAUUAGCAAGUAUGGUUCCCUUCCUAAAUCAAGCAAAUCUAGGCUCUCAUCUCUGGGUAGCUAUGGAACUGAUUCUUUUGGAGAGGACCAAAAUAGUUCAUCAAAGGAUCCAAGAGGAGAACCCCAAUCACACACUCCUUCGGAUCAGGGCAUUUUAGGAGUAAAAAGUGCCAUGAGCUCAUUAUUUAGUUCUCUCACUGACAGAGUUGGAGGUAGCACCAAACAGCCUGUCCCAUCUCCCCAAGCACCAUCUACACAACCCUCCAACCAAGCUGGACUAUCAAAACUGCUGUCCUUUAUUCCUAAAUCAAAUAGCUCAGCUCCUGUAGCUGUUAUAUCUCCUGUAGAAAGUUAUCAUGAAAAAUCAUUCAGUUCUUCUUUGCCUUCUCAGCCACCACAAGUUGCCAAGACACAAGGUCAUCAUCAAGAAACAAACACUCAAACGAGUACAAAGGAAGAUGCGCACAAGUUUGUAACAAACCCUCACGGUGCUCCAGGAAACUCAGUCUUGGGAAAAUUGAAUCCUUUAAAGCUUUUUUCAGCAGGGAAUAAUGGAAACCCAACUGAACAGGCACCACAGUCAACAUAUUCUCAAGGCCAUACACAGUGGCAUGGGAAAUGUGGUUAUCAAGGUAAAGAGUCAAUGACAGCAGAAGGAGAAGACAAAUCCGAAAAAUUAAGAAGUUCCUUGCAAGUGAAAAAUUGGAAACAAACACAAGAUGAAAAUGUACAUGGCGGAACAAAUCGAAUGAUUUACAAACAAGAAAAUGUGCCUAUUCCAGCAAGGUCAACUGGCCAAGCACAACCAGCAAGCACUGGAUUCUUUAGCCCUUUCAAGAGAUCCUUGAGUUCAUUGAUUACACCUGAUGUCCCCAUUCCACCCCAGGGAGCUCCACCUGUGGCAGUUUAUCCAGUAUUUAGGUCAACAGAGGAUCCCCAACUACAGAGACCUGUGGAGGACCCAUUAUUGAGCAGUAAGCUAAAACUUCCUUUUGUUUCGUCUGAAAAUGCCUCCAGUCAGCAACAUCCCAAGACAGAGGGAGGCAUGCUCUCUGGAUUCUUAAAGUUUGCAUCCAGUGAAGAUGUUGGUUCCUCCUUGAAAACACACAAUCCUGUGCAGUCGUAUCAUGAUUCAACUUCAGCACCCUCCACUACUUUAACACAGAAUUCUACCGUGCCCCAGGACACUGAGAAAGGAUGGUUUUCCAGCAUAUUUAAGCCUACCUCAGUUCCCUCUGUCUCAAACCAGAAUUUAACCAGUGAUCAGCAAUGUCAAAACAGCAAAGUGCCAUAUGGCUCACAAGCAGGACACAUGUCAAAUCAGAAACCCAUAGCUACCCCUCAUGGAACGCAGCAUCAAGCUCCCAAUCAGCCUGAAUCACAAAAAAUGUUGACAGGUCUUUUUAAAGGGAGCUCAACUGAGGACAUGGGCCCUAAUCAACCCAAACAAGCAGGACUGCUAUCUGGACUUCUUAAAUUUGGCUCUACCAGUGACCUAUCCGGCAAUUUGCCACAGCAGGCUUCCCAUAACAAUCCCCCACCCAGGAGCAGUAAUCCCCCACCGUUUUCUAAUGACACUCCCUCCCAACAAAGUUCUUCAGUACCACGGAUUGGAGGCCUUGUCUCAGGGCUAUUGAAGUUUUCAUCAACAGAAAAUAUAGCACAAAACGUACAGCCUUCUGAAGCUGCAAAACAGGGGAACAUCCUUGGAAAUGACUCUUGUCAGCAGCAGACUUCAGAUGAAACGCAGCAAACACAAUCACAGCAAAAGGGGCUGUUGUCUGGCUUGUUUAAAUUUGCAUCCUCUGAAAAUGUUUCAAGCAGCCAAACAUUGCAGCACCAACAAAGCAGUGUUCAACAUAAUCAAGGGGCUCUCAACCAACAGAAUAGUCAAAAUCCAAACCAAGGGCCUCAUCUCAAGAAUAGAGCAUCAAGUCAGCAAGUUGUCCAACAGGAGACGAGUAAACCAGGCUUUACUCGACAACAAACAGUUCCACUCCAGCAACCAAAGCCCCAACAAAGUGGUCUUUUAUCGGGUCUUUUUAAAUUUGCUUCGGCCGACAACAUAAAGGCACAAGAACAUACAUCAGCUCAACAGCAUGGAACUAUGCCAAGUAAAUCCAGCCAUGAGCAACCAUGGGCAAGUGAUAUACCUGUGUCCAACCAAAACCAACAACAAAGCAGCUCAACACAAAAAACAACUCAAGCAAGUCUGCUUUCUGGAUUAUUCAAAUCCUCCUCAGAAAAUAUGGCUCAACAGCAGCAGCCCAAAAGCAUUUAUGAGACACAACAACAAAUCCAAGUGCCAAGCAGCCAGACUGCUGAAACACAGGGUGAGACAGCAAGUCAAUCAGGAGUGCUCUCAGGGUUGUUUAACAAGUUAACUAAAUCAUCUGAAAACGUUACCUCAACCUGUCAGACAUCAACAGGACAAUCACUACAUCAAAAAGCCAAUAAUUACACAGAUACUAUGACAACCCCACUACAAAAACAGUUGCACACUAAUGUUACGCAACAAUUCUCACAAGAACAUGCAGAGAAAGAGGAAAGAAAGAGGAUUCUGCGACCUGCCCAGCAAGGAAGGGACAGCUGUCAAAGAGUGGUCCAAUAUUCUUCUAAUCCAGGACAAAACAGAUGCGCUUUAAUCAGUACACCUGUCUCAAUGAAUACAGAGAGUUUAGACUUAAGAACAUCUGCCACUUUUGCAAGAUCUCUUCAGAAUCAAGCAACAUACUCCUCAAUUAGCACAGGUAAUGUGUCUCAGUUAAAUUAUUCUGGCUCACUUCAGUCAGUUCCCCCAAUGUCUUAUAGUACAGGAAAUAUCCAGUCCCUUUUGCAAAGUCAUACACCUUUCUCAGCAACCAACAUGCAGCCAUUCAUUGGUGGAAGCACUUCAUCCUUGUAUGGAGCAACAGAGCACAGCAUUUACCAUGGUCAGUUAUCCCCUUAUGGAACAAGUCCCUCCUAUGAUGAAAACCAGUGGAUCCGUGAAAGUGCUCUCUGGCAGCAGUUUCAGAAUGAGUCACUGAAUUAUCAAUUCCAGGCAGAGGAUCAAGUGUACAGACAGAGCUGUGAUGGUGUGUCAUUACAGGCAUCUGUUCUUCCCUGCAGCUCCUCAAAUGCAUAUCAGCCAUUUAACUCUUCCACACCAUGGCAAGGUGUUGUUUGCCAAGAGCAAAUUCAACCAUAUCAGUUUGAGGGACAUAGGAAUUAUGAUCCAAAUCCCAAGAGAAAAUUAUGGAACAGCCAUGGAGAUUUGGGAAACAUAACAUAUUCACAUGAUGAGGAGGGUGCAUUGAACUUAACCAAUAAACAGAGUAAUGCAAAGUUUGGGAAAUGGCACUCGUUUAAUGAUGGCAGCACUUACAGCUUGAAUGGUGUUUCAUAUCAUGAAGGUUAUUAUGAGGAGACUGCACCAACCUUAUCUUAUGCGGCUAAUUGGCAAUAUGGAAUGGAUAAAGCAGUCCUACAAACUUUCAAUACGGACGGCAUGUCGCAUCAGAGUCUGAUUAAUUUUAAUAGACCAAUAGAUUCAAGCUGUCCCCCGAUUCCUAAAACUGAGACGGAAGAAUCUCUGUACCUGGAAGACACUGAGUGGUAUCAGCAGUGGCUUGCCCUUUUGGAGCAAGGUAUGUGGUGGCCAGCCGAAUAUGGUGACUGUGGCUACUUUGUUUACACAGAUCAUGAGUACAUUUAUGCCUUGCUUACAGAUGCAGCAGGUGAAUAUGUGUAUGCUUGUGCCCCUGAAGACGAGUCUUGGGGAAAUGCACAGAAAUUAGAUGGUUUUCCCAGUGCUUGGCUAAACAGUGAAAUGGUUUCAGUGUGUGGCUUUAAAAUUCCACUUUACAAUGAGGACGAGCUUCUUUGGCUACCUGGUCAAGAUCACAAUGACUCUCAGCUUCUUAAUGCCCCUCUAGAUUUGUCUGCUGCCUAUAGAAAAGGAAAUCAGAUCAUGAAUUUAAAUCUUGAGCAGUUUUCACAAAUGUAUGAAAAUUCGUUUCUGUCACAAAGGCAACAAGGUGUAGAUUUCUCAUCUUACAGAUUAAACAAAGUCAGAAUAGAUCCAAGACAACACAGUUAUGUCAAUGAAGACCAAUGCAAAGAUGUUCUUGACCUUUCCUGUCGUAAUAAAGACACCACCGCCCCUUACUGGAACAACCAGGACAUGAAGACAUUUCUUGCCCAAAAGGUUGCUGUUUCCCUAAACGCUUCGGCCACAAAUUCCAAUCAACAGCUAUUUUACAACUGUUACCAGCCUAGCCAACGGCGGCGUUCAUCCACUGGAGUAACAGUGAAGCAUGUAGAUGAUGUAUCAGAUAAUGAAUGGAGGGAGAGAGUUUCUCCCGGAAAAGAACUACCUAAUCGUCAAGUCAAAAAUAUUUCUUCCCUCAUCUCCUCGUUUGUGGGCAAAACCUCACAGGCAGAGUUAAACAAAACUAGCAUAUCCUCUUGUGAUAAAGCUCCUGAUAAAAAUUCAAAGAGCAUUCUUACAUCAGGUUUCCAAAGCCUUAAGUCAAAGAUCAUCAAAGAGGAAUCUAUUGCUGAUGUGACUCAGCCAGAUUUAAUUGUUAAACAACAAAUUCAGGCAUCAGCUACCACACAGAAAAUAAUUUUGCCCACAGUACAAACAAGUGCUCCAGCUGCUCACCCCUCAAUUCAAUCACAUGCAGCUUCACAGAAACCUAGGCUUUCACGUCAGGCUACCAUGGUACAACAAGCAAGCCCACCAACCCAGCCCAAAGUCCCAGCACAUGUUAUUGCACCUGGACCACCUGGACAACUUACAGCUGGGAAGCCAGUGGAUAAACCAGUGGAGAAACCAUCUGAACAGCAGGCAGGCUUGAUGAACUUUUUGAAGUCUGCAGUGGGAAUAGAAGAAUCCAUGCCAGAUCCUCAGAAAAGUUCUCAGACAAAUACCAAUGAGCAGAGCAAACCUGGCAGCAAUGCUCCUACAAAUAAAGAGGCUACAGGAGUGUCAAAUCUCUUUGGCUCAAUUAGCAGCCUAUUUAGUUCUGAACCAUCUCCACCACAGAAACCGCAAAUGAAACCUAGUGUUACAGAGGGUUCACUGACAUCAGUAAAUAGACCUAAGGGUAUACAGAGACAAAAAACAAUGGACCAAAGUGCUACCUCACGGCCCGCACAAAACCAAACUCCAAACAAAAGUAUAUCCCAAACAUUUUCUCCCAGUUCUUCCACCGUCCCUCCUACAAGCCGUUCAGAAACUGUGCCAGGUACAGAACAGACAAAACAUGAAGCAGGAACUAAACCAUCUGGUGGACUGUUUGGAUUUUCAAUUGGAGAAAUGCUGACAGGAUCAACAGCAGCUGCUCAAUCUGGACCCACAUCUCAAUCAUCUGCAUCAGCUACAGCUCCACAAGAAGAAUCACUUGGUAAAAGUAUAUUGUCAAUAUUUGGUGGACCAAAUCCUCCGCAGGCUGCACCUAAAACUGGGCCUCUGCCACAGACACAUUCACCAAGUGUAGCUCCACAGCCUUCUCAACAGGAAUCCCUUGGUAGAAGUUUAUUAUCAAUGUUUGGAGGAUCAAGUCCUCCUGAGCCUCAGCCUCCCCCUCAAACCAAGCCUGUUGCUGAGGUACCACAACAGAGAACUGUUCCACAAAAAGACCCCCCAAAUAAAGGAUUCUUUUCAAUGUUUGGUGGCCAGAGCCCCCAACAGCAACCCCAAACAGGAUCUCUUUUAGGGGGAAUUCUCCCUGGGUCAUCAAAUUCAACUGAAAGCCCAAUGAAGGGACUGUUGUCAAUGUUUAGUGAACCCAGUCCCCCACAACCUCAGCCACCAACAUCGUUAUCUCAACAAAGAGUGGCCCAAUCACAAACUCAAGUACUACAAGUGGAACCUCAGACACAACCUAAACAACAAACACAGCCCGAAGCACAAGGGCAGCCAGCCACCUCUGUUCUUGGGGGAAUAUUUGGUGGCCUGUCUACCUCUAAUGAAAGUCCAAGAAAAGCUUUGUUCUCCAUGUUUAGUGGCCCGAGUACUCCUCAAACAUCAGGAGCUGGGGUAAGGGAACUUGUCUCUACUCCCCCAGUGACUGCAGCCCCCAAAGAACCGGCAAAUAGUAUACUUUCUGUUUUUAAUGAUAUUGUGUCACCUCCACAACAAACUCCAGUUAUUGUUACUGAUGCUAGAGACCCACCAACAGUACAAGGUUCUUCCCAAAUGUCAUCUCUUUCCAGUAGCCAUUUGCCAAUGGCAGUGGCUACCAGUGAAAUACCAAGUGAAGUGCGUGUUAGCCCAUCUACUGAUACUACUGUAGAUACUAAACAGCUUGCAUCCAUAAAGUCAAAUUCAGAAUGUGUCACUGUUGAAAAGGAAAUGAGCACAGAAGGUGCUCCCCAAGAUCCUGCUCCCUCAAAAGAACCACCAGCUUCUGGCCUUCUGUCUAUGUUCAGUGGAUCGGGGCCAAAUGCUUCACUCUCACAAGCAGGAUUAAUUUCAGACAGUCCAGCAAAAGGUUUGCUUUCAUUAUUUUCUGGCCCCAGCACUGAACAUAGUUCUAGCCAGAUAGGUCCUACACAUACAGGGUCUGCCCCUGAAUCAUCAGGCCCAAAGGACCCAUCAGCCAAAGGUUUGUUGUCUCUGUUUGGAGGUUCUGCUCCUCAGUCAUCUUCUCAGCCUGGAAAUUCUCUAUUAGGGUCAAUGUUUGGGGGCACUUCACCCCAAACAACAGUUUCUCAAACAGGGGGGUCAUUACUAGGUGGUUUAUUUGGGGGAUCUUCUCCUCAGGCUGCUCCUCAAGUUGGCCCCGCUAAGAUUGGAGUAUCUGCUCAACAGACAACAGGCCCUCAGGCAGGAGCAUCCUUACUUGGGGGGUUAUUUGGUGGAUCUGCUUCCCAGGCCGCUGGAUCUCAGACUGCAGGGUCUAUUUUGGGUGGGUUUUUUGGAGGAUCAACAGCUUCAGCAGCAGCAACUCAGACUAGCGGGUCCUUUAGUGGAUUGUUUGGUGGGGCAGCUACCCAGACUUCAGCGCCACCAAAUAGUAGCUCUAUAUUGGGAGGUAUUUUUGAAGGAUCAGCUUCUCAAACAGCUCCUGCAGGGACUGAUACAUCUCUUCCGGGUGUUAUUUUACCCGGAGCUUCAGCUUCUAAUGAGACACCUGAUAAAGGUUUGCCUGGUAUGCUCAGAGGAUCUGUUCCACCUGCAACACCUACUACAACAGCUAUACCCAAAUCCAAUGAUGCCAAGAAAACUUCAACUACUGCCAUAACCCACAAUUCUUUAGAUGUUCUACCAAAACCUAAUGAUGAAGAUAAAACUGCCCCAGCACUUACUGGUCCUGAAAUGUCUUUACUUGAUCCUGCUUCCAAAAGCAAAGAGGAGCCAGGAACACUACAGCGGCCUGACAGUACAGUGCAUUGUCUUGAGGCAAGUCUACCCAAAACUGAUGCCAAUGUCACAGACGUUGAUUGCCAAAAUGCUAACAAGCCAACAAGCCAAGCUAAUGAUAUUCAUUCUAAAGAAUCUGAAAUCUGUGCAGAAGCACAACAACCUGCAGGAAAAGAGCUUGUAAGUGACCAGCCAAGUCUAGAUACAAUACAAACUAAAGUAGAAGAGGAAACACCAGCCACUCAGUCAGCCAGUACUAUAAUCCAAGGACAACAAAAGCCUCUAGAGCCAGAUAAAUCUCUUGGUGACUCAGCAGCAGAUGCAGUUACAGGCUUUAUGUCCUCCCUUUUCAAACCAACAGUUCCUCCCACUGACGGUCCUCAGCAACAGCAGAGUGCUACUGGUCAGAGUGGAGCAUCACUAUUAGGAGGUAUUUUUGGAGGCUCCAACACUGAGUCAGCAGCCCCCCAGACUGGGGGAUCUUUAUUAGGUUUAUUUAAGGGCUCUGCUCCUCAGUCUGGUCCUCAAACCACAGCCCCCACCACUGGAGGGUCAAUGUUAGGUUGUAUGUUUGGAGGAGGAUCAGCUGCCAAGUCUGUAGGUCCCCAGACUGGUGGAUCGAUACUGGGUGGGAUGUUUGGGGGAUCUGCCACAACAGCACAGCCUGGUGGUUCUUUACUUGGAGGAAUGUUUGGAGGAGUCACUGCUCAUACUGCAGGAUCACAGACUGGAGCAUCAAUACUUGGGGGCAUAGGCGGAUCUUUUUUUGGGGGUAUGGGACAACCACCUAAGCCAUCUGAAACAAUGCCAGCUGGGCCCAAGCCAAUGCAUGCCACUACUCCACAGUCACAGAUUAAGAAUGAAAGUGUGUCAUCAAAAGUGUCUCCAUCUGGCCCUGGGACUAGCACAGAUAAAACAGUAGAGUCAACCUUACCGGAUAACAAGCAAGUUGAAUCUGGUAGCUUAACAAAUAGUAGUGCGAUGACAUUUGACACAGUUUGUGUAGAAACCUCUGCUCUCUCAAGUACUUCAAUGAACACUGCAUGUGAUCCCAUCCAUCAGUUAGAAAACACUGAAAAAAAGAAACCAGAUGGAGAGAUUAUACGUGAGAAUUCCAUGGCCAUUAUAGGGGACCCUGAAAUUAAAGGAAGUGACAAAUCAGUCCCACCUCAAACCCAAGAAGUAGAGACUCAUAUAGCUCAUGCAUUUAAUCAGUUGCCCAACAAUGAAGAGCCACCUCAAGCAAAGUCUAUGUUUGGUUUUAUAUCAACACAAAGUGAUGCAGGGAAAUCUCUUGGAUCCCUAUUUUCAUCAACAACAUCAUCAGGUGCUCCAACAAUGCCUCAAACAGAAGGAGUGAGUGGUCUGUUUUCAGGAAUAAAAGCCUUUUCUGGAGGCUUAUUUCAAGAGGAAAAAGCUGUCGCCGGAAAACGAGAGCCACCCUCCACUUCAUUGUUUGGAACAAAAAUAGGUUUUCCUUGGCAGGCAGAGCCACCCAAGCCACAAGAUGUCCCAGUUGUAACAUCUCAGCCCAAAACUAACAAGCCAACAAGUGGUCAAACACAUACUGUACAAAAGUUUGCAACAUCUGAUGCCCAAAAUACUGAAUCGGUAGGUUCCACAGAUGAUAUAGCAAACCCCCAGAUUUGCAUCUCCACUCCUGAAGUAGAUCCUUCAGCCUCCCUGUCCCCAAAGGAGAAGGAAGGGCUUGUAGAAACAUACCCCUCUGCAGGUCCUACCUCUGGAGUGCAGCUGGACAACCAGUGCAAGAAGGAUCUAUUGAAUACCAAAAGUCCAGUGGAAAGUAGUCGCUUUGGGUCAUCAGGCAACCUGAGCCAGACCAGCUCCCAGCUUAGUGAGACUGGCCAGGAGAGUACUGGAGGGUCAGAACUAGAGGAGUCCUUCCACUCCUACCACAGUACCAGCGUUCACCCCUCCACCAAUGGGCAACUACGCACCACUGAACAUCCUCCUACCAAUGGACACUCUUCUGUCGGUGAGCAGGAGAUACAUAGGCUGUCCCCUAAAGUAGGAGAAGGCCUGAAAAAUGACACUCCAGCAGAGCGAGGGUCCUCCAAACUCCUAAGGUUUCGUGAGGAUGGGCCACCAUUACCCUUCUCCCCAUCCAGAGUUCGGUGGUUAAAGGCCAUCAAUAAAGUCAGGGUUCAGCUCCGGGAGGUUCGAGAUGAAGAUCCCAACGUUAGACAAGCCUGGGUCCAACCAGACGGCGGAUCUGGUCUCUAUGGAAUUGACAGCAUGCCAGACCUACGUAAAAAGAAACCUAUCCCCUUGGUCAGCGAUGUGGCUAUGUCUCUUGUCCAAGCCAGGAAGGCGGGGAUUGCAUCUGCCAUGGCUGCACGGUCCUCAGUCAAAGAUGAGGAGCUGAAAAUCCAUGUGUACAAAAAGACACUGCAGGCUCUCAUCUACCCCAUAUCCUGCACCACGCCACAUAACUUUGAGGUGUGGACUGCCACUACACCCACAUACUGCUAUGAGUGUGAGGGGCUGCUGUGGGGAAUAGCCCGCCAAGGCAUGCGUUGCUCUGAGUGUGGGGUCAAGUGCCAUGAGAAGUGCCAAGAGCUGCUGAACGCUGACUGUCUACAGCGUGCUGCAGAGAAGAGUUCUAAGCAUGGAGCCGAAGACCGGACCCAGAACAUUAUCAUGGCCAUGAAGGACAGAAUGAAGAUCCGGGAAAGGAACAAACCAGAAAUCUUUGAACUCAUCAGGGAAGUGUUCAUCAUCAGCAAAGCCAUCCACGCGCAGCAGAUGAAGACCAUCAAGCAGAGUGUGCUCGACGGCACCUCAAAGUGGUCGGCCAAGAUCACCAUCACAGUUGUUUGUGCCCAAGGGCUUCAGGCAAAGGACAAGACAGGCUCCAGUGAUCCAUAUGUCACUGUUCAGGUGGGCAAGACCAAGAAGAGAACCAAGACCAUUUAUGGCAACCUCAAUCCUGUCUGGGAGGAGAAGUUUCACUUCGAGUGCCACAAUUCGUCAGACCGAAUUAAAGUGCGCGUGUGGGACGAGGAUGAUGACAUCAAGUCGAGGGUAAAGCAGCGUCUGAAGAGGGAAUCGGAUGAUUUCCUGGGCCAGAGUAUAAUUGAAGUACGAACGCUGAGCGGAGAAAUGGACGUCUGGUACAACCUGGAGAAGAGGACGGACAAGUCCGCCGUGUCAGGUGCCAUUCGCCUCCAAAUCAGCGUGGAGAUCAAAGGAGAGGAGAAAGUGGCUCCGUAUCACGUCCAGUACACCUCUUUGCAUGAGAAUCUGUUCCACUACUCGACGGAUGUGCUUGGCCAAGGUGCGGUGAAAAUCCCGGAAGCUCGUGGAGACGAUGCCUGGAAAGUCUACUUUGACGACGUGGCCCAGGAAAUAGUGGACGAGUUUGCCAUGCGCUAUGGGAUUGAGUCAAUCUACCAGGCCAUGACGCACUUUGCCUGUCUGUCGUCUAAGUACAUGUGUCCCGGGGUUCCUGCAGUGAUGAGCACCCUGCUGGCCAAUAUCAAUGCCUUCUACGCCCACACAACCGCCUCCACCAAUGUGUCCGCCUCCGACCGCUUUGCUGCUUCCAAUUUUGGGAAGAACGCUUUGUCAAGCUGUUAGACCAGCUACACAACUCCUUGGCGCAUUGACCUCUCAACCUACAGGAACCACUUUCCUGCCAGCAGCAAGGAUCGCCUGCAAGAUUUGAAAUCCACCGUGGACCUUCUAACCAGCAUCACCUUUUUCAGGAUGAAGGUCCAGGAGUUACAGUCUCCGCCCAGAGCCAGCCAGGUGGUGAGGGACUGUGUCAAGGCCUGCCUCAACUCAACAUACGACUACAUCUUCAAUAAUUGCCAUGAGCUGUACAGCAGACAGUACCAACCUAUUGACACA